GGGGCCUUCUACUGAGCAAAGGA
rnacentral:piRNA from 1 species